GUAGGAGGCUCUUGCAGACGUUUUAAAUUACUCAGUCCUGGUAAUGUUCCUUAGCUGCAGGACCCAAGCCUCUACGCUGGGUAGGAGAAAUGGAUCUUGCUGCUUUGCAGAGAGCUCCGGGGGACUCGCCAGGCCCUUCAAUGAGCCCGUACCCAUGCCUGCUUAUGCCUGAGGCAUUAUCUCGAAGCACUGAGAUACAAGGGUGAACAAGACGAGAGGUUCACAGCGCUCACACAGAUGACAACACUAACAGAACCAUUUGAUGCUACUCAUAUUUCUGAAACCAAGAACUCUGGAAGAAUUUCUGCCCUCGGGCCCUCUCAUUUUUGUGUCCAGAUUGGCCUCCUUCCCAACUCACCAGAAACAUCAGAGAAUGAAGCUGUCUGUGGAAGGCUACGGACAAACUGGACACAAAUUCACUGGACAUCUGAUAGAUGGAAAGAAAGGUCAAGAUGGUCCAAGCUUGGUCAGCCUCUCAAGCUUGACAACAAAAGAAAAAAUACCCUGGAAUUUCUUCUUGUAUAAUGUAGGCUUGAAUUAAAGUCAUUUUUCAGUCUC